rnacentral:rRNA from 1 species
UACGAACCGUCCAAACGUUAUUCGGAUUUAUUGGGCUUAAAGGGUAUGUAGGCGGCGCUGUCAGUCGGGUGUGAAAUCCCUCGGCUCAACCGAGGAACUGCGCCCGAUACUGCAGCGCUUGAGGGAGACAGAGGUAAGCGGAACUGAUGGUGGAGCGGUGAAAUGCGUUGAUAUCAUCAGGAACACCAGUGGCGAAAGCGGCUUACUGGGUCUCUUCUGACGCUGAGAUACGAAAGCUAGGGGAGCGAACGGG